GACGAACGCUGGCGGCGUGCUUAACACAUGCAAGUCGAACGGAAAGGCCCUGCUUUUGUGGGGUGCUCGAGUGGCGAACGGGUGAGUAACACGUGAGUAACCUGCCCUUGACUUUGGGAUAACUUCAGGAAACUGGGGCUAAUACCGGAUAGGAGCUCCUGCUGCAUGGUGGGGGGUGGAAAGUUGCGGCGGUUGGGGAUGGACUCGCGGCUUAUCAGCUUGUUGGUGGGGUAGUGGCUUACCAAGGGUUUGACGGGUAGCCGGCCUGAGAGGGUGACCGGGCACAAUGGGACUGAGAGACGGAGCAGACUCGUACGGGAGGCAGCGGUGGGGAGUAUUGCCCAAUGGGCGGAAGCCUGAUGCAGCGACGCCGCGUGCGGGAUGACGGCCUUCGGGUUGUAAACAGCUUUAGCCUGUGACGAAGCGGGAGUGACGGUAAUGGAUAAAGAAGCACCGGCUAACUACGUG
rnacentral:rRNA from 1 species